rnacentral:rRNA from 1 species
GAUGAACGCUGGCGGCGUGCUUAACACAUGCAAGUCGAACGAAGCAUUUGCGACAGAUUUUUUCGGAAUGAAGUUGCUUAUGACUGAGUGGCGGACGGGUGAGUAACGCGUGGGUAACCUGCCUUGUACUGGGGGAUAGCAGCUGGAAACGGCUGGUAAUACCGCAUAAGCGCACAAUGUUGCAUGACAUGGUGUGAAAAACUCCGGUGGUAUAAGAUGGACCCGCGUCUGAUUAGCUAGUUGGUGAGAUAACAGCCCACCAAGGCGACGAUCAGUAGCCGACCUGAGAGGGGGACCGGCCACAUUGGGACUGAGACACGGCCCAGACUCCUACGGGAGGCAGAAGUGGGGAAUAUUGCACAAUGGAGGAAGCUCUGAUGCAGCGACGCCGCGUGAGUGAAGAAGUAAUUCGUUAUGUAAAGCUCUAUCAGCAGGGAAGAUAGUGACGGUACCUGACUAAGAAGCGCCGGCUAAAUACGUG